UCGAUAGAAAGAAGAAGAAAAAUAUAAAAAGAAUAUUUCGUUCUUUUUUUUUUUUUUUUGUAAAUCCUCCCAUUAUUAAUACAGUUUUAUUUUCAGAAUUUUUGCGAUCGCGUGCAAUGCGGUCGAUAGACUCAGUGUUUGUUCCGUAACAGUUUUUUAUUAUUUUCGAAGCUUAAUAGCUUUAAUUAAAUAGUUACUUAUUAUAUUCGCGAAAUUAGAAUCAGUGUUUGUUCGCCGAUUGUAAAUUAGACGGACGCGUUAAUAGUUUAUUAUUUUUAUUUUUUUUUAAACAAUCGUUUUCGGUACAGAAUAGAAUCAGUGCUUCUGAAGAAAAAUAGGCGAUCAUCCAUCACGCGAAGAGGUGUCUGAAAAUCUUGGGGAAAAUUUUCUCUUGGAUUUCAAUUUUUAAACAAAAUUGUGAUCGCGCGCAAUGCGAUCUUUAGAAUCAGUGUUGUUGCGUAACAGUUUUUUAAUAUUUUAGAGCACAAAAUGUGUUCUAGUUAAAUUUAUUUACUUAAUUAAAAUAGUUAAAUUUAUAAUCGCGAAAUUAGAAUCAGUGCUUGUUCGUCGAUCGUAAAUUAGACGGACGCGUUAGUAGUUUUUUAUUUUUAUUUUUUUUUUAAAUAUUCGAUUUCGGUACAGGAUAGAGUCAGUGUUUCGGAAGAGAAUAAGGCAGUCAUCCUUCACGCGAAGAGUUUUCACUUCCUCCUUUGACGAUCGACAACCCAUAGAUCCUGAUGGUGAUAAUGCAGAAUCUUCGCAUCGAUUGGUGAGUCGCAUGCAUUUAUGUUCCUCCGAUUACUCAAUCAUGUCGUAGGAUGAAAGGUCCGAAUCGACACGGGUAAUUGGUUGUAUACGUAGAUUUUUGCACGAGCACAGUGACCGCGGGUAUUUAUUGUACCCGUGAAUAGUAACAAUUCUUUUCUUGUGUUUUAUUUAUCAGAUUAGGAUAGGACUUCUUGCACGUCGCGUUUUUAAUAAAAUGAUACUGAGAGUUAACUUUAUAUUAUUUAUAAAUUAUUUAUAAAUUAUUUUGAUAUAAUAUAAUAUAAUAUAAUUAUCAAUAUGAAUGAUAUAAAUAAUUAUUUUGAUUAUAUAUGGUUGAAAAUAAUUUUUGUAAUAAUUAUAACAUUUAUAAUACUUAUACAUUUACGUAUAAAAAUGAAUAUUGGAAUAAAUUAAAUCUCGUUUUAGUGAAGAAAUCGGAUGUCCUCCGAUUUCGUUACAAUAAAAGUAUGUAAUAAUAGUAUACAUUAUCGUUAUAAUAAUAUUAUAAUAAACGAGAGUUUUAACUUUAUUUUCUCGUCCGAUAUUUAAUUAUUUAAUUUAAAUUCGAUUUGAAACGUAAAACAAUUUUAUUUUCAUCGUACUAAAAAUAUGAAAUAUUACGUGCAAGAAGAUGCUUCGUGACAGGUAGAUUUCUUAAUCAAGUAAUAAUAAAUUUUGAAUAUAUCUUUAUUUUUAAAAAUUUGGCUUGAUGAAGAAAUCGCCUGAGGUUAUAUUUAUUAUUAUUCUAUUUAAAGUCAGUAAUUUCUUAUUAUU